CGGCGCCCAUCACGGGGAGGGGGUGGAAAGCGGGCGCCCUGAGAACAGACUGCUUGUCUUGUGUGGAAGCGUUGGGAGCUGACACCAGAUUUGGGCUCCAGGCUGGGGUUCUGAGCCUGACACGUGUGAACUACCUAAAAACUUGGGAGCUCUCUGGGGUCGAGGAGGAGUCUGUUGUGGCCACUGCAGCAGCAGCCCCUGGUCACAUGUGUCUGUUGAGCUCCUGUAAUAUGGCUUCCUGAAUUGAGAUGUGCUGACUACAAAUACACACUGGAUUUUGAAGGCUUAACAUGAAAAAAAGGAUGGCUGUGAUUAAAAAAAAAAAAGAAUAACAAAUAUUGGCAGACUUGUGGAGAAACUGGAACAUCCAUGCAGAUGGUGCAGUCACUUUGAGAAAAAAGUUGAAAGGUUACCGUUGAGCUACCACAUGGCCCAGUAAUUCCGCUCCUAGGUGACUGAAGCUUGCAGAGGGGAUGCCACCUGCCCAGAUGCCUGGUACACCUGAGUGCCCAGACUGGGAGCCCCCAGAAGCCUGGGAAGGAUGCUAGCGCUGUCUCCUCGGGGUGAUGCAGGCCUUGGGGCAGCCCAGCUGGCCUGCUUAUGUUAGGUUCAUAGCGAGCAUCAAACCCAAAACGAGACAGCACAGAACCGGAUUUGGGGGCCCUUCCCAGCAUGAUGGGGCCUGAGACCUGAGGGCUGCUUUAAGCCUCUCCAGAGACCCUCUCCCUGGCCCCAGCCCUUUGCGCUGCAGCAGAGAGCCUCAGUUGGGCGGGUCUUGGCCUCUCAUAUCCUCCUUCUGGGGGAGGGUAGUAACCAUACCGUAUGUCAUCAAAUAUAAGAGGCCAUUGGAACUAAGAGGUCCUGCUACCUUAUGAAUCACCACAAAGAGAAAAGACUUAGCAGCCUGGGGUGAAACUCUGGAUGGAGAGGCAAGAUGACCUCUGAGGCUGUAAACCAUGACAAGUGGGAGUGCUACCAGGCGUGGGCGAUGGUCCUGCAUAUUUACAGUGGCCCCCGGGGAAAAUGCUUUCCCAUGUUGUCCUCACUAUCCUGCAGCUUCUGUGAUGGACUCCCAGGUGGGACCCCCAGGUUACGGGGGCCCCAGGUUACAUAGGUGUGGGGCCCCAGGUUACCACGGAGGGGUCCCAGUUUAUAGGUGGUGAACCCAGGUUAUACAUGGAGGCUCUAGGUUGUAGGUAGGGGAGCAAGGUUAUAGCAAGGGGCCCCAGGUUACAGGCCCAAGAUUACUUAGGGGAGCCCCAUAUUACAGCUAAGAGGCACUGCGAUACAGGUGGGAGUCCUCAGGUUAUAGGUAGGGUCCCAGAUUAUAGUGGAGGACCCAAGGUUAUAGGUGGGGCCCUGGGUUUGAGGUCAGAGCCCCCAGUUAUAAAUAGGAAGACCAGGUAACAGCAGGGGCCCAGCCUUCGGGUGGGGGCCCAGGUCAUCCAUGGAGUCUUCUAGGGCCCAGGCUUUGCCUCUGCCCCGUCUCCUCCUGUAUACCCUAUCCCUCACACCUGGCAUUUCUCCUGCCCACCCACGACCCUCACUCCUAUGGACACUCAUACCCAGCUGGCCCCCAAAUCUACUCACUCCCUCACAGCCCCCUCGCUUCCCUCAGCUCUGAGGCCAAGACCCCCUACACCCUCUCCCUGAGCAUCAAGGAGGCCAGAGUUUCUCCUGGCCCCUCUCCUGGCCGUUUGCACCGUCCUGGAUCAACUUCCACUUGGUGGGUUUCUUCUUGGCCCCUAAGACCACCCCUCUCCAGGGGCCCACCUCAGCCUCCCACCUGUUGAGUGAGGCCCCCAGAAGCCAGAGGGGUCCUUCCAGACCCGAGUUCACCCCUGCCAGCAAUCCAGUCAUAGGUAGCUUAGGGGCUGGGUCCGUGUGGGCCAGUGUGGCCACCAGGGGGCGAGCGGGGAUCGUGACCAAGGCUCAAGUAUGAGCUUAUGUGUGUGUGAGUGCGCGCGCACGCACCAACGUCCACUCGAAGCCCAAGAGUACCCGCUGUGGUGACAGCGGCAGAUGUCCCUAGAGGUGUCCUAGUGUCCCCUGGGGGGCAGGACCACCCCUGGUUGAGAAUUUUUGCUUUAUAGAUAAACAUUCAUGUAUUUAUGGAUGAAAGGAUGUGGUGUCCAGGAUUUUGCUUUAGAACAUUCCUGGGUGUAACGUGCAGGCCGAAGUAUUUGGGAGAAAAUGUCCUGAUGUAGCCACUCUUGUUUUUAUU